rnacentral:rRNA from 1 species
AGAGUUUGAUCCUGGCUCAGGACGAACGCUGGCGGCGCGCCUAACACAUGCAAGUCGAACGGUGAAGAGGAGCUUGCUCCUCGGAACAGUGGCGGACGGGUGAGUAACACGUGAGCAACCUGGCUCUAAGAGGGGGACAACAGUUGGAAACGACUGCUAAUACCGCAUAACGUAUCGGGAUGGCAUCUUCCUGAUACCAAAGAUUUUAUCGCUUAGAGAUGGGCUCGCGUCUGAUUAGAUAGUUGGCGGGGUAACGGCCCACCAAGUCGACGAUCAGUAGCCGGACUGAGAGGUUGAACGGCCACAUUGGGACUGAGACACGGCCCAGACUCCUACGGGAGGCAGCAGUGGGGGAUAUUGCACAAUGGGGGAAACCCUGAUGCAGCGACGCCGCGUGGAGGAAGAAGGUCUUCGGAUUGUAAACUCCUGUUGUUGAGGAAGAUAAUGACGGUACUCAACAAGGAAGUGACGGCUAACUACGUGCCAGCAGCCGCGGUAAAACGUAGGUCACAAGCGUUGUCCGGAAUUACUGGGUGUAAAGGGAGCGCAGGCGGGAAGACAAGUUGGAAGUGAAAUCCAUGGGCUCAACCCAUGAACUGCUUUCAAAACUGUUUUUCUUGAGUAGUGCAGAGGUAGGCGGAAUUCCCGGUGUAGCGGUGGAAUGCGUAGAUAUCGGGAGGAACACCAGUGGCGAAGGCGGCCUACUGGGCACCAACUGACGCUGAGGCUCGAAAGUGUGGGUAGCAAACAGGAUUAGAUACCCUGGUAGUCCACACCGUAAACGAUGAUUACUAGGUGUUGGAGGAUUGACCCCUUCAGUGCCGCAGUUAACACAAUAAGUAAUCCACCUGGGGAGUACGACCGCAAGGUUGAAACUCAAAGGAAUUGACGGGGGCCCGCACAAGCAGUGGAGUAUGUGGUUUAAUUCGACGCAACGCGAAGAACCUUACCAAGUCUUGACAUCCUGCGACGCACAUAGAAAUAUGUGUUUCCUUCGGGACGCAGAGACAGGUGGUGCAUGGUUGUCGUCAGCUCGUGUCGUGAGAUGUUGGGUUAAG